rnacentral:rRNA from 1 species
UACGGAGGGGGCUAGCGUUGUUCGGAAUUACUGGGCGUAAAGCGUACGUAGGCGGCUUUUUAAGUCAGAGGUGAAAGCCCACGACUCAAUCGUGGAACUGCCUUUGAGACUGGAUCGCUUGAACACGGGAGAGGUGAGUGGAAUUCCGAGUGUAGAGGUGAAAUUCGUAGAUAUUCGGAAGAACACCAGUGGCGAAGGCGGCUCACUGGACCGUUGUUGACGCUGAGGUACGAAAGCGUGGGGAGCAAACAGG